rnacentral:rRNA from 1 species
AGUGAACGCUGGCGGUGGGCCUAACACAUGCAAGUCGAACGGCAGCACAGGAGAGCUUGCUCUCUGGGUGGCGAGUGGCGGACGGGUGAGGAAUACAUCGGACUCUACUUUUUCGUGGGGGAUAACGUAGGGAAACUUACGCUAAUACCGCAUACGACCUACGGGUGAAAGCAGGGGACCUUCGGGCCUUGCGCGAUUGAAUGAGCCGAUGUCGGAUUAGCUAGGUGGCGGGGUAAAGGCCCACCAAGGCGACGAUCCGUAGCUGGUCGGAUAGGAUGAUCGGCCACACUGGAACAGAGACACGGUCCAGACUCCUGCGGGAGGGAGCAGUGGGGAAUAUUGGGCGAUGGGCGCAAGGCUGAUCCAGCCAUACCGCGUGGGUGAAGAAGGCCUUCGGGUUGUAAAGCCCUUUUGUUGGGAAAGAAAUCCAGCUGGCUAAUACCCGGUUGGGAUGACGGUACCCAAAGAAUAAGCACCGGCUAACUUCGUGCCAGCAGCCGCGGUAA